UGAAGUCGGAAGACCCCAGUGUAGCCGACCUUGAAGAUAUAUAUCAAGCCCCCAAAAAGAUCCUCGAGGAAGUGGCCAUUAUCCCGUCGAAGCUCCUUCGCAACAAGAUAGCGGGAUUCUCGACCGACCUCAUGAAGCACAUCCAGAAGGGCCGCCCAAUCAAGACUUCGUCCUGAUUUCGUUCUAUGUUCCACUCAAAGCCCGUCAAAACCCCUGUACCAAAUAUUGGUGAUAUUCAUGGGCAAUUCCAUGAUCUUGCUGAGCUUUUUCGAAUUGGAGGGAAGCUUCUAGUGGGCCUGAAAGUGCGCUAUCCCCAACGAAUUACUAUUCUAAGAGGAAAUCAUGAGAGCCGGCAGGUAUACUACGCUG